CGGCUCAUGUAAAUACAAACACAAGUUAAUUUCUUUGCAAUUCAUUUGCAAUUUAUUUCCACUAUCCUACAUACUCAAACAUCCUUAUGCAAACAUCCUUAUUCAUCUUAAUUGAUAUAUAUAUAUGGACAUGCAAAAGGAGUCUCCCUCCAUCAUUAGUAUACAUGGUCUUUGAGCUUUCUCUAAAUCAUGAUUGGUGAAAAUAAAUAGAGCAAACCUUAGAGUUUCCAUCUCCUUAUUUGUCACCUGAGUAAGUGCCCACAUCAUUGCAUGCUUGAAAUGUGAAAUGUUGUCAAUCACCACCAUCACUCACUUUCUAACCAUUAUCUCAUAAUCCUCAUUCCCGUGCAUGAUGAAUCAUUCCCUUUGAUUCAUACUUGCCUCACUAACAUGGCCAUAUUUGUCUUUCCCAUUCCACCUAUUUGAUGUUGAUUUCCAAACCUUCUUCAUGCUGAAUUGUUUUAACAACGACCCUCUUGAACUUUGCUUUGUUUAUUUGAACAGCCCUCGUGGCUUAUAUUUAUAUAUAGGGUGCAGAAAGAAUAGCAUCAUUACUUGCUCAUCAGAUAGUACAAGAAAUGAGGGUAUUCGGGUCCCCCAUAGGAUUAGUUUGGCAGGUUAUUAUAUAGAGAUACACUAGAGGUUGUAAUUGUAGGAGGUUUGGUCAUGGUGAUACAAAGUGGGAGAUAGUGGGUGGUUUUUCUGUAUAAGUGGUGAGAGGGAAGAGCGGGUGGUUUGGGAUUAACUGAUGAUAUGGAUAUUAUGAGAUUAAGGGAUGAUAUGAGUACUUUGGGAUUCUUU
rnacentral:lncRNA from 1 species